rnacentral:misc_RNA from 1 species
UCCGGGUUUCGCCCGGCAGUCUCCCUAGAAUAUUCAACUAAGGACAGGGGUUGCGCUCGUUGCGGGACUUAACCUAACACCUCACGACACGAGCUGACGACAGCCAUGCACCACCUGUGCACUAGCCCCGAAGGGGGGCCGUAUUUCUACGGCUUUCCAGUGCAUGUCAAGCCUUGGUAAGGUUCUUCGCGUCGCGUCGAAUUAAACCACAUGUCCCACCGCUUGUGCGGGCCCCCGUCAAUUCCUUUGAGUUUCAGCCUUGCGGCCGUACUCCCCAGGCGGGGUACUUACUGCGUUAGCGACGGCACCGAAGGGGUCGCUCCCCCCGACGCCUAGUACCCAUCGUUUACGGCGUGGACUAC